GACGAACGCUGGCGGCGUGCUUAACACAUGCAAGUCGAACGGUGAAGCGCCUUCCUUUUUGGUGGGUGUGGAUGAGUGGCGAACGGGUGAGUAACACGUGAGUAACCUGCCCCCUUCUUCUGGAUAACCGCAUGAAAGUGUGGCUAAUACGGGAUAUUCUGGGUCUGUCGCAUGAUGGGUCUGGGAAAGAUAUUGUUUCGGUGGGGGAUGGGCUCGCGGCCCAUCAGCUUGUUGGUGGGGUGAUGGCCUACCAAGGCGGUGACGGGUAGCCGGCCUGAGAGGGUGGACGGUCACACUGGGACUGAGACACGGCCCAGACUCCUACGAGAGGCAGCAGUGGGGAAUAUUGCACAAUGGGCGCAGGCCUGAUGCAGCGACGCCGCGUGAGGGAUGGAGGCCUUCGGGUUGUGAACCUCUUUCGCCAGUGAAGCAGGCCUGCCUCGUUUGUGGGUGGGUUGACGGUAGCUGGAUAAGAAGCGCCGGCUAACUACGUG
rnacentral:rRNA from 1 species